rnacentral:lncRNA from 1 species
UGUGUGUGGUUGGUGGUUGUUGGUUGGAUCAGUCAGUGUGUGUGGGUGCGUGUUGUGUACUCAGUACUCGUGAUGUGUGUGUGUGUCAAUGUGUCAACCCUGGUCUUCGGUGGGGGCAGCACCGAGUUGCCACCUGCCAUUCCAUUUCCAUUCCGGGCGAUGAAUAAAUUAAAAAAGAGUCUCAUUUGUUUAAAUACGGACCGUCUACCAAACACUCACAAGGGUACGCUGGUGCGGAAGCAGACCGUCUUUGCGAUCCGCUAAAUCGUCGGAUUCUCGCUAUGUUUUAAGUUUUUUUUUUCAAGUGUGUCUAGGGCACAUCUAGAUGUGCU